rnacentral:rRNA from 1 species
GACGAACGCUGGCGGCGUGCCUAAUACAUGCAAGUCGAACGCUUCUCUCCUCCCGAGUGCUUGCACUCAAUUGGAAAGAGGAGUGGCGGACGGGUGAGUAACACGUGGGUAACCUACCCAUCAGAGGGGGAUAACACUUGGAAACAGGUGCUAAUACCGCAUAACAGUUUAUGCCGCAUGGCAUAAGAGUGAAAGGCGCUUUCGGGUGUCGCUGAUGGAUGGACCCGCGGUGCAUUAGCUAGUUGGUGAGGUAACGGCUCACCAAGGCCACGAUGCAUAGCCGACCUGAGAGGGUGAUCGGCCACACUGGGACUGAGACACGGCCCAGACUCCUACGGGAGGCAGCAGUAGGGAAUCUUCGGCAAUGGACGAAAGUCUGACCGAGCAACGCCGCGUGAGUGAAGAAGGUUUUCGGAUCGUAAAACUCUGUUGUUAGAGAAGAACAAGGACGUUAGUAACUGAACGUCCCCUGACGGUAUCUAACCAGAAAGACACGGCUAACUACGUG